rnacentral:rRNA from 1 species
CAGCAGCCACGGUAAUACGAAGGGUGCAAGCGUUAAUCGGAAUUACUGGGCGUAAAGCGUGCGUAGGCGGUUUGUUAAGUCUGUUGUGAAACCCCCGGGCUCAACCUGGGAAUGGCAAUGGAUACUGGCAAGCUAGAGUGUGUCAGAGGAUGGUGGAAUUCCCGGUGUAGCGGUGAAAUGCGUAGAGAUCGGGAGGAGCAUCAGUGGCGAAGGCGGCCAUCUGGGACAACACUGACGCUGAGGCACGAAAGCGUGGGGAGCAAACAGGAUUAGAUACCCCGGUAGUCCCUGUCUCUUAUAC